rnacentral:rRNA from 1 species
CUCAGGAUGAACGCUAGCUACAGGCUUAACACAUGCAAGUCGAGGGGCAGCAUGGUCUUAGCUUGCUAAGGCCGAUGGCGACCGGCGCACGGGUGAGUAACGCGUAUCCAACCUGCCUUACACUCUUGGACAGCCUUCUGAAAGGGAGAUUAAUACAAGAUGUUAUCAUGAGUAAGCAUUUUCGCAUGAUUAAAGGUUUACCGGUGUAAGAUGGGGAUGCGUUCCAUUAGAUAGUAGGCGGGGUAACGGCCCACCUAGUCUUCGAUGGAUAGGGGUUCUGAGAGGAAGGUCCCCCACAUUGGAACUGAGACACGGUCCAAACUCCUACGGGAGGCAGCAGUGAGGAAUAUUGGUCAAUGGACGAGAGUCUGAACCAGCCAAGUAGCGUGAAGGAUGAAGGUUCUAUGGAUUGUAAACUUCUUUUAUACGGGAAUAAACGGAUCCACGUGUGGAUUUUUGCAUGUACCGUAUGAAUAAGGAUCGGCUAACUCCGUGCCAGCAGCCGCGGUAAUACGGAGGAUCCGAGCGUUAUCCGGAUUUAUUGGGUUUAAAGGGAGCGUAGAUGGGUUGUUAAGUCAGUUGUGAAAGUUUGCGGCUCAACCGUAAAAUUGCAAUUGAUACUGGCAGUCUUGAGUACAGUUGAGGUAGGCGGAAUUCGUGGUGUAGCGGUGAAAUGCUUAGAUAUCACGAAGAACUCCGAUUGCGAAGGCAGCUUACUAACCUGUAACUGACAUUGAUGCUCGAAAGUGUGGGUAUCAAACAGGAUUAGAUACCCUGGUAGUCCACACGGUAAACGAUGAAUACUCGCUGUAGGCGAUAUACAGUCUGCGGCCAAGCGAAAGCAUUAAGUAUUCCACCUGGGGAGUACGCCGGCAACGGUGAAACUCAAAGGAAUUGACGGGGGCCCGCACAAGCGGAGGAACAUGUGGUUUAAUUCGAUGAUACGCGAGGAACCUUACCCGGGCUUAAAUUGCAACCGAAUAUGGCGGAAACGCUAUAGCUAGCAAUAGCGGUUGUGAAGGUGCUGCAUGGUUGUCGUCAGCUCGUGCCGUGAGGUGUCGGCUUAAGUGCCAUAACGAGCGCAACCCUUGCCGAUAGUUACUAACAGGUCAUGCUGAGGACUCUGUCGGGACUGCCAUCGUAAGAUGUGAGGAAGGUGGGGAUGACGUCAAAUCAGCACGGCCCUUACGUCCGGGGCUACACACGUGUUACAAUGGGGGGUACAGAGGGCUGCUACCACGCAAGUGGAUGCCAAUCCCAAAAACCUCUCUCAGUUCGGAUUGAAGUCUGCAACCCGACUUCAUGAAGCUGGAUUCGCUAGUAAUCGCGCAUCAGCCACGGCGCGGUGAAUACGUUCCCGGGCCUUGUACACACCGCCCGUCAAGCCAUGGGAGCCGGGGGUACCUGAAGUGCGUAACCGCAAGGAGCGCCCUAGGGUAAAACU